rnacentral:Y_RNA from 1 species
GGCUGGUCCGAAGGUAGUGAGUUAUCUCAACUGAUUGUUCACAGUCAGUUACAGAUCGAACUCCUUGUUCUAAUCUUCCCCCUUCUCACUACUGCACUUGACUAGUCUUAA